UACGGAGGUGGCAAGCGUUGUUCGGAAUUACUGGGCGUAAAGGGCGCGUAGGCGGCAAGGCAAGUCAGGUGUGAAAGCCCCGAGCUUAACUCGGGAAUUGCAUCUGAAACUGCUGUGCUUGAGUUCUGGAGGGGGUAGUGGAAUUCCCAGUGUAGCGGUGAAAUGCGUAGAUAUUGGGAGGAACACCAGUGGCGAAGGCGGCUCACUGGACCGGUACUGACGCUGAUGCGCGAAAGCGUGGGGAGCGAACAGG
rnacentral:rRNA from 1 species